rnacentral:rRNA from 1 species
UGGGGAAUCUUGGACAAUGGGCGCAAGCCUGAUCCAGCCAUGCCGCGUGAGUGAUGAAGGCCUUAGGGUUGUAAAGCUCUUUUUGCCGGGGGACGAUAAUGACGGUACCCGGAGAAUAAGUCCCGGCUAACUUCGUGCCAGCAGCCGCGGUAAUACGAAGGGGACUAGCGUUGUUCGGAUUUACUGGGCGUAAAGCGCGUGUAGGCGGGUCGUUAAGUUGGGGGUGAAAUCCCGAGGCUCAACCUCGGAACUGCCUUCAAAACUGGCGACCUGGACUCAAGCAGAGGCAAGUGGAAUUGCGAGUGUAGAGGUGAAAUUCGUAGAUAUUCGCAGGAACACCAGUGGCGAAGGCGACUUGCUGGGCUUGUAGUGACGCUGAGACGCGAAAGCGUGGGGAGCAAACAGGAUUAGAUACCCCGGUAGUCCCUGAGCGGGCUGGCAAGGCGCAU